UGCUAAAAAGCUAGCCCCUCCCCCAAAAACAACAAACCACUAUCAAUACCCCCAAAUACACCACCAGACUUAAUAAACCAAACCAUUUUCCCCUCCCAGUAUAGGUGAUAGAAAAG
rnacentral:rRNA from 1 species